AAGUUUGAUGGUGGCUCAGAACGAACGCUGGCGGCAGGCCUAACACAUGCAAGUCGAGCGCGCCUUUCGGGGUGAGCGGCGGACGGGUUAGUAACGCGUGGGAAUAUGCCCUUUGGUACAGAAUAUCCUCUGGAAACGGAGAGUAAUACCGUAUGAGCCCUUCGGGGGAAAGAUUUAUCGCCAAAGGAUUAGCCCGCGUUAGAUUAGGUAGUUGGGGGGGUAAUGGCCUACCAAGCCUACGAUCUAUAGCUGGUUUUAGAGGAUGAUCAGCAACACUGGGACUGAGACACGGCCCAGACUCCUACGGGAGGCACCAGUGGGGAAUCUUGGACAAUGGGGGCAACCCUGAUCCAGCCAUGCCGCGUGAGUGAUGAAGGCCUUAGGGUCGUAAAGCUCUUUCACCUGUGAAGAUAAUGACGGUAGCAGGUAAAGAAACCCCGGCUAACUCCGUGCCAGCAGCCGCGGUAAUACGGAGGGGGGUAGCGUUGCUCGGAAUUACUGGGCGUAAAGCGCACGUAGGCGGAUCGGAAAGUUGGGGGUGAAAUCCCGGGGCUCAACCCCGGAACUGCCUCCAAAACUAUCGGUCUA
rnacentral:rRNA from 1 species